AGAGUUUGAUCCUGGCUCAGGACGAACGCUGGCGGCGUGCCUAAUACAUGCAAGUAGAACGCUGAAGAGAGGAGCUUGCUCUUCUUGGAUGAGUUGCGAACGGGUGAGUAACGCGUAGGUAACCUGCCUUGUGGCGGGGGAUAACUAUUGGAAACGAUAGCUAAUACCGCAUAACAAUGGAUGACACAUGUUAUUUAUUUGAAAGGGGCAAUUGUUCCACUACAAGAUGGACCUGCGUUGUAUUAGCUAGUAGGUGAGGUAAUGGCUCACCUAGGCGACGAUACAUAGCCGACCUGAGAGGGUGAUCGGCCACACUGGGACUGAGACACGGCCCAGACUCCUACGGGAGGCAGCAGUAGGGAAUCUUCGGCAAUGGGGGCAACCCUGACCGAGCAACGCCGCGUGAGUGAAGAAGGUUUUCGGAUCGUAAAGCUCUGUUGUAAGUCAAGAACGGGUGUGAGAGUGGAAAGUUCACACUGUGACGGUAGCUUACCAGAAAGGGACGGCUAACUACGUGCCAGCAGCCGCGGUAAUACGUAGGUCCCGAGCGUUGUCCGGAUUUAUUGGGCGUAAAGCGAGCGCAGGCGGUUUGAUAAGUCUGAAGUUAAAGGCUGUGGCUCAACCAUAGUUCGCUUUGGAAACUGUCAAACUUGAGUGCAGAAGGGGAGAGUGGAAUUCCAUGUGUAGCGGUGAAAUGCGUAGAUAUAUGGAGGAACACCGGUGGCGAAAGCGGCUCUCUGGUCUGUAACUGACGCUGAGGCUCGAAAGCGUGGGGAGCGAACAGGAUUAGAUACCCUGGUAGUCCACGCCGUAAACGAUGAGUGCUAGGUGUUGGAUCCUUUCCGGGAUUCAGUGCCGCAGCUAACGCAUUAAGCACUCCGCCUGGGGAGUACGACCGCAAGGUUGAAACUCAAAGGAAUUGACGGGGGCCCGCACAAGCGGUGGAGCAUGUGGUUUAAUUCGAAGCAACGCGAAGAACCUUACCAGGUCUUGACAUCCCGAUGCUAUUUCUAGAGAUAGAAGGUUACUUCGGUACAUCGGUGACAGGUGGUGCAUGGUUGUCGUCAGCUCGUGUCGUGAGAUGUUGGGUUAAGUCCCGCAACGAGCGCAACCCCUAUUGUUAGUUGCCAUCAUUCAGUUGGGCACUCUAGCGAGACUGCCGGUAAUAAACCGGAGGAAGGUGGGGAUGACGUCAAAUCAUCAUGCCCCUUAUGACCUGGGCUACACACGUGCUACAAUGGUUGGUACAACGAGUUGCGAGUCGGUGACGGCGAGCUAAUCUCUUAAAGCCAAUCUCAGUUCGGAUUGUAGGCUGCAACUCGCCUACAUGAAGUCGGAAUCGCUAGUAAUCGCGGAUCAGCACGCCGCGGUGAAUACGUUCCCGGGCCUUGUACACACCGCCCGUCACACCACGAGAGUUUGUAACACCCGAAGUCGGUGAGGUAACCUUUUGGAGCCAGCCGCCUAAGGUGGGACAGAUGAUUGGGGUGAAGUCGUAACAAGGUA
rnacentral:rRNA from 1 species